rnacentral:rRNA from 1 species
GAUGAACGCUGGCGGCGUGCCUAAUACAUGCAAGUCGAGCGAACGGACGAGAAGCUUGCUUUUCUGAUGUUAGCGGCGGACGGGUGAGUAACACGUGGAUAACCUACCUAUAAGACUGGGAUAACUUCGGGAAACCGGAGCUAAUACCGGAUAAUAUUUUGAACCGCAUGGUUCAAAAGUGAAAGACGGUCUUGCUGUCACUUAUAGAUGGAUCCGCGCUGCAUUAGCUAGUUGGUAAGGUAACGGCUUACCAAGGCAACGAUGCAUAGCCGACCUGAGAGGGUGAUCGGCCACACUGGAACUGAGACACGGUCCAGACUCCUACGAGAGGCAGCAGUAGGGAAUCUUCCGCAAUGGGCGAAAGCCUGACGGAGCAACGCCACGUGAGUGAUGAAGGUCUUCGGAUCGUAAAACUCUGUUAUUAGGGAAGAACAUAUGUGUAAGUAACUGUGCACAUCUUGACGGUACCUAAUCAGAAAGCCACGGCUAACUACGUG